AAUCAACGCUGGCGGCGUGCCUAACACAUGCAAGUCGAACGCGAAAAGGGGACUUCGGUUCCUGAGUAGAGUGGCGUCCGGGUGAGUAACACGUGGGUAAUCUGCCCUUCGGGUGGGGAAUAACUCAGGGAAACUUGAGCUAAUACCGCAUAAUGCAGCGGCACCUAAUGGUGAUUAGUUGUUAAAGCGGGGGAUCGCAAGACCUCGCGCCUGAAGAGGAGCCUGCGGCAGAUAGCUAGUUGGUAAGGUAAUGGCUUACCAAGGCUUCGAUCUGUAGCUGGUCUGAGAGGACGGCCAGCCACACUGGCACUGACACACGGGCCAGACUCCUACGGGAGGCAGCAGUGGGG
rnacentral:rRNA from 1 species